AUGUCAGCGGUUCGAGUCUGCUUAUCUCCAGCCCGUGAACUUAGCGGAUACUAUGAUAGCGAUAGCACCGAAAUUUGCCAAUUCGGCAGUUCGAUCUAUGAUUUCACAUUCAUGGACAUUGAUAAGAUCCUUCCAUUUAGUAGCACCUUAGGAUGGCAUAGCCUUAACGUUAAUGGCGAGGUUCAAAAGAGGAAAGGCUUGCGGUGGAUACCUAGGCACCCAGAGACGAGGAAGGGCAUAGCAAGCGACGAAAUGCUUCGGGGAGUUGAAAACAAGCAUAGAUCCGGAGAUUCCCAAAUAGGUCAACCUUUUAAACUGCCUGCUGAAUCCAUGAGCAGGCAAGAGACAACCUGGCGAACUGGAACAUCUUAG
rnacentral:rRNA from 1 species